GACGAACGCUGGCGGCGUGCUUAACACAUGCAAGUCGAACGAAGUGGCGAACGGGUGAGUAACGUGUAAUCAACCUGCCCUUUAGUGGGGGACACCAGUUGGAACCGACCCCUAAUACCGCAUACUGAUGGCGGGGAUUGCGUCUGAUUAGCUCGUUGGAGGGGUAACGGCCGACCAAGGCGAUGGUCAGUAGCCGGUCGGAGAGGAUGACCGGCCACAUUGGGACUGAGACACGGCCCAGACGCCUACGGGAGGCAGCAGUAGGGAAUCUUGGUGAAUGAGCGUUAGCCGGAACCAGCAAAGUAGCGUGAAGGAUGAAGGUCUAUGGGUCGUAAACUUCUUUUAUAUAAGAAUAUGUAUUAGAUGAAUAAGGAUCGGCUAACUCCGUGCCAGCAGCCGCGGUAAUUC
rnacentral:rRNA from 1 species